rnacentral:sRNA from 1 species
AGCAGCGUCGAUUUGCCGACGCCGGAGCCCGCGAAGAUUCCGAGGCGCUGCCCGAGGCAGAGCGGGGAGAAGAUGUCUA